rnacentral:rRNA from 3 species
ACGGGUGAGUAAUGCCUAGGAAUCUGCCUGGUAGUGGGGGACAACGUUUCGAAAGGAACGCUAAUACCGCAUACGUCCUACGGGAGAAAGCAGGGGACCUUCGGGCCUUGCGCUAUCAGAUGAGCCUAGGUCGGAUUAGCUAGUUGGUGAGGUAAUGGCUCACCAAGGCGACGAUCCGUAACUGGUCUGAGAGGAUGAUCAGUCACACUGGAACUGAGACACGGUCCAGACUCCUACGGGAGGCAGCAGUGGGGAAUAUUGGACAAUGGGCGAAAGCCUGAUCCAGCCAUGCCGCGUGUGUGAAGAAGGUCUUCGGAUUGUAAAGCACUUUAAGUUGGGAGGAAGGAUUGUAGAUUAAUACUCUGCAAUUUUGACGUUACCGACAGAAUAAGCACCGGCUAACUCUGUGCCAGCAGCCGCGGUAAUACAGAGGGUGCAAGCGUUAAUCGGAAUUACUGGGCGUAAAGCGCGCGUAGGUGGUUUGUUAAGUUGGAUGUGAAAUCCCCGGGCUCAACCUGGGAACUGCAUCCAAAACUGGCAAGCUAGAGUAUGGUAGAGGGUGGUGGAAUUUCCUGUGUAGCGGUG